CAGUUCUCGACUGUGAGCAGUGUUCCUUCGAUCCUGUUAUUCGAAAGAUCGACCAGCGAUAGAUUCCCGCUGCUGCACAGCCUCGGAGGUAAGCCUCCGGAGAACCUGUUGUUGGAAGCAUUUAACACACGUAGAUCGCUCGUCAUUCCCAGCGCAGGUGGCAAAGGCCCUUGAAACCGAUUCCCCGAGAGACUCAACACGGACAAGCUGGAAAGGAGACCGAUCCGCAGCGGCAGCUCACCUGUGAAACUGUUGAGAGACAAAUCCAGCGCGUCCAGCGUCACCAUCGCCCCAAACGAAUCCGGUACGCUUCCUGUUAUGUUGUUGGAGCUCAAGUUGAGUGACAGCAUUUGCCUCCAGGUGCUUCCCAGGCCCAGCGGCAAUUCUCCCGACAACCUGUUACGCGAGACGUCGAGGCUGGAGAGGCUGGAGAGGCUGCCAAGCUCCACCGGAAGGCUCCCGGUGAAGUUGCAACUCGACGCCUGGAACUCGUUCAAGUUGACGAGCCGGCCAAGCUCGCUUGGAAUCUGCCCCUGGAACAAGUUACGGUUGAUGGUCAGCCGCUUGAGCGCAAUGCAGCCUCCGAGCUCCCUUGGAAGCGGCCCGGAAAGUCUGUUGUUAUACAGCGCCAAGUGCGUGAGCCGCUGGAGCCUGCCAAUCGUAGCCGGGACGCCACCUCGAAGACGGUUGUUAUAAACUUGGAAGAACGUGAGCGACGAGCAGUUCCCGAUCUCGCUGGGGAUGAAACCAUCCAGCUCGU
rnacentral:lncRNA from 1 species